GGCCUCCCACAGGUGACACAGCAGCUCCAGCAGCACAGGAUGGGCACCCAAAAAACACCAGCCCAGGCCGGGGACAGCACCUGCAGGACACCCCGAGGGCACUGAGCAGGGAAGUGGCAGAGGAAUGAAUUCACCUUCCUGCAGCUGCCCAGGGUUACAAGGCACACUGAGGACGCUGCAGACACCUGACCCCUCCAGAAAACCAUUGUGGGUAAUUAUCUUGGAGUGCUAACAGGAAGCUGCCAGUCAAGUCAGAGAACAAGUACACAGCAGCACUUGUUCUCCCCACUUGAAGGGCAAAUAUUUGUAUCACUGACUGAGUGGAAAAUGAAGCAGAACAAGUUCAUUGUUGUUGUUGGUUUGCCCCUCUCAGCCUGUUCUUCCUUUAAAAUGAGUGAGUGCCUGGGAGGAGAGUGGUCACACCUCUGCAAAGCUGGAAGUGUUUCACAGCUCCCGUGGUGCUAAAGCAGCUGGGAGCCCAUCUUUGUGUCUGACUGAGCAGCUCUCAGGGGUGGAAAAUAAAACCCCUCUCCACAAACUACUAUAAGCCCUCUUUGCAGAACAUACUGGAAAUUCAAUAGAGUCCAUGUGGUUUGAUCUGAUAUAAUUAAUAGCAUAAUCUAAUGGAAUUCCUGACCUAAUAAAAUAUCAAAAAUUGUAUAAAGAUAUCACUAAUAAUCAGUCUUUAAUAUUUCAGAUGUAUUGUUUUGUAUUUUUAACAAAAAUAUACUAUUUUAAUAUAUUGUUUUGUACUCUUGAUUGUGGUUUUUUUAUCCAAUCUGGCUGUAUUCAUCUUGACCAAGAACUGAGCACUGUCACUUAAUUUCACAAAGACAAGUCUUUGACUGAUAUUAAGUGCUGUAGCUACUAAUCAGAAUAUCUUGCUACAAACAAAAGAAAAUAUAAACAUUCACUGAUAUGAAACAGAUCUUGCAGACUUCAAUUCAUUCUGCCAUUUGAUGCCUGCAUUUACAAAUGUACUGGGUUCCCAAAGUUUUAAAACUUGUUUUUCUGUUCCCAGACUUUAGCAGUAGUACUAGGUCUGUGACUUUCCAGGCACAGGGUAAAAAUUAUUAUAUGAUAACCAAUAAUUCUAUAGUUUGGAGGUCAAUACAUUAUAUAACUAGGUGCUAAUUCAGAUACCAGUUCAUCUUUUAGCCCUUUGCAAUACAUUUUCAAAGAAACCACAACUGUGAGCAAGUUACAGACUGGGAGGCCACCACCUCCCACAAGCAUCUUGCUCAAGGGAACUUCUCAAGUUACAAUAACUAAAGUUACUCUAAGGUUCAGAGGGCUGUCUUGAACCUUCACACUAUUUCUGUAGACUGCAAAUAAGUGGUUUUUUGUUUGUUUUUUUUUCUAACAGUAUUGCUGCCUUCAGCAUUUGGCCUCAUGGGACAUUGAGGAAAUGCAAUUCCCCCCUCCCAGAUGUGAUAGUGGGAUAAAUAUAUCAGGGGGUUUUGUAAGGUUUUCCCUACUGUUAGUUCUCUAAAAUGAAGAUAUUAAAGUGUAAUUUGGAGGGGGGGAGGAGGGGGAAGAAGCAAGCUGAGCAGAGAAAAAUAAUUUCCUUUUUAACCUAUGUUCAUUACAGCUAGCAAAGAUGACAUUCAACUCAGCAGGCAGGAAAAGCACUCUUCAGUAGUUUCAGAGGGUGGAUUCCCUGCAGGACAGAGGCCCCAGGGCAGCUGUCUCAGCUGCAUCCUGCACAUCUGCUCCACUGCAAGGCAGCAGCAGCACAGAGUCAAUCACUGUCUGUCUAUAUGUGGUUUUGCUCUUUUUUCCUUAUAAUCAAAGGUAAGGCUCCAAAUCAAACAGUAUUUUCUGGCUUUUCUAUAUUGCAGCAGGCUGUAAGCCAGCACACAGUACAUCUGCUAAAAACACCAAAGUAUUUUAUUUCCUGCUUGUGCUGUCCUCUGCAAGAGUUGUGGUAUUGCAAUUCAAAAGUGAAUCUUUGCAAAGAUAAAGGGAGCAGCAAAGCAAUCCACAAUCCAGGACACAUUUUUACAGGGUCUACUUUAGAUUAUGUUAAAUAUAUGACCUUAGUGAAGAAUAUCAGCUUCAUUUCCAGAAUUAUAUAUUAAGUUUAUACUUGUUUUCUCUGGAAGGUUAAAGGGUAGAAUUGUGGUUUCACUAAGAAAAUAUUCUGGCCACUGUGCUAAGAUUAAGCCAUCUUUAGCAUCCAGAAUGGGCUUUCAUCAACUAUAGUAUAGAAGAAAAAAAAACCACCUCAAUUUGUAUAGCCUUCAGGCAAAUCUUAAAUGAAACACUGGAAAUUGAAGGUUCAAAUCACACCUCUAGGAGGUCUCCUUUUUUUCUCCCUUCCCCAACUAUCUUCUUUAUAGUAUACUUCUCUAAAGAAGUCAUUUAUUGCAUGUCAUUGAAUGUGUUCAGCUCAAAUCCUGGCAGUCACCUUUAGUCAUCUACCCAUUUCUUAAAUUUAGAUCUAGAACUUCAAUAUAAAUUAUUUUGUGGUUUGGAGACCAAAUUUGACAUACUUACACAUUCACUGGUGAGGAUUUUAGUUGAGAUAAAGAACUCUCAAAUCUCCAGUGACAGUAUAUUUACUCCAAAGACUUUGUAUUUCCAGAGCUAUGCUUUGGUUGACCACUAUUUUGAUUCAUUUAUGCCCUCCCAUAAUCAAAUACCGUGUCCCUGUGAGAAAUACCUUGUUAAUAGAGCAGUCCCAGACCUUGACUAGCUGUGCUGAAGGGAACAGGCUGGCUGAGGUAGCCUGAAACAUUCAGAAGGGCACAGAGUCACCCCUGCAGCCUCUGCUGGCUGCUCAGCACCACAGCUGGGCAGCUGCACUGGGCAGGGCACCUGUGCUCCCUUCGGGAUCAGUUCUGCUCUCACCAACGUACCUUGCUUUUGAUUAGCUUACUGAAAAUUAUGUGUAUAGUAAUACUGACUUAUGACACAGCAUCCAUGUCACAUGGGCAGAAUAUUGUACAUUCAGCCUCCCAAAAACCAAAGCACACUGCAUGUUGUGCCCUGAGGCUGUGCAGUACUCACUCCAGCUAAGAAAAACCUUAGGACAUGAGAACAGAAGUGCAGGAAAAGCUUAGAAUAGGUAAUGCAGAAUAAAUACACACUUUGGAGACUUUAGGUAACACUUAGUAUCUCUUCCUAGCCAGCAGUAGGUUUUCCAGCUAAAGGCAAUGCAGCCAGCAGUUCCAGAAGGUGAGAAAUGAACUGCUUGGCAAAUGAACUGCUGCUCUUACAGCUUUGAAUCACACAUCCUUGAAUCCUCAGAGCUGCCUCAACUAUUACAGACCUUCCCAUCACUUCCCAACUCUUCUGCAGUGUCAUCCAAGGCAGAUGGAAACCCAGCAGUGCUUCUCCCACAGACCCAGGCAGGGCUGUUUUGUCCAGCCCUUGUUUCACUGCCAGGGUACAACUGGCAGGACAGCAACUCCUUAUCCAAGCAUUAUCCAUGUGUUAUGUCAUCUCCACCAAGGGAUGGAGGAGAGGGGUGUGUGC